rnacentral:rRNA from 1 species
GAUGAACGCUGGCGGCGUGCUUAACACAUGCAAGUCGAACGGUGAAGCAGAGCUUGCUCUGUGGAUCAGUGGCGAACGGGUGAGUAAUACGUGAGCAAUCUGCCCCUGACUCUGGGAUAAGCGCUGGAAACGGUGUCUAAUACUGGAUAAGAGCCAUGGCCGCAUGGUCUGUGGUUGGAAAGAUUUUUCGGUUGGGGAUGAGCUCACGGCCUAUCAGCUUGUUGGUGAGGUAAUGGCUCACCAAGGCGUCGACGGGUAGCCGGCCUGAGAGGGUGACCGGCCACACUGGGACUGAGACACGGCCCAGACUCCUACGGGAGGCAGCAGUGGGGAAUAUUGCACAAUGGGCGGAAGCCUGAUGCAGCAACGCCGCGUGAGGGAUGACGGCCUUCGGGUUGUAAACCUCUUUUAGCAGGGAAGAAGCUUUUGUGACGGUACCUGCAGAAAAAGCGCCGGCUAACUACGUGCCAGCAGCCGCGGUAAUACGUAGGGCGCAAGCGUUAUCCGGAAUUAUUGGGCGUAAAGAGCUCGUAGGCGGUUUGUCGCGUCUGCUGUGAAAUCCCGAGGCUCAACCUCGGGCCUGCAGUGGGUACGGGCAGACUAGAGUGCGGUAGGGGAGAUUGGAAUUCCCUGGUGUAGCGGUGGAAUGCGCAGAUAUCAGGAGGAACACCGAUGGCGAAGGCAGAUCUCUGGGCCCGUAACUGACGCUGAGGAGCGAAAGGGUGGGGAGCAAACAGGCUUAGAUACCCUGGUAGUCCACCCCGUAAACGUUGGGAACUAGUUGUGGGGUCCAUUCCACGGAUUCCGUGACGCAGCUAACGCAUUAAGUUCCCCGCCUGGGGGAGUACGGCCGCAAGGCUAAAACUCAAAGGAAUUGACGGGGACCCGCACAAGCGGCGGAGCAUGCGGAUUAAUUCGAUGCAACGCGAAGAACCUUACCAAGGCUUGACAUACACCAGAACACCCUGGAAACAGGGGACUCUUUGGACACUGGUGAACAGGUGGUGCAUGGUUGUCGUCAGCUCGUGUCGUGAGAUGUUGGGUUAAGUCCCGCAACGAGCGCAACCCUCGUUCUAUGUUGCCAGCACGUAAUGGUGGGAACUCAUGGGAUACUGCCGGGGUCAACUCGGAGGAAGGUGGGGAUGACGUCAAAUCAUCAUGCCCCUUAUGUCUUGGGCUUCACGCAUGCUACAAUGGCCGGUACAAAGGGCUGCGAUACCGUAAGGUGGAGCGAAUCCCAAAAAGCCGGUCCCAGUUCGGAUUGAGGUCUGCAACUCGACCUCAUGAAGUCGGAGUCGCUAGUAAUCGCAGAUCAGCAACGCUGCGGUGAAUACGUUCCCGGGUCUUGUACACACCGCCCGU